AUUCUACUGGGAGAUACAAUAUGUACCCAACUAAGCGAAUGGUCGAAACAAAGAAAGCACACCAACAACUAGAUAUAUCAUGAAAGGCUUUCCAUAAGAGGUAGCACAUAAACUUUGCCUCGAAAGAAAAAGCCCAUGAAGCAGCUAGAAUUUUUUUUUUAAAUGGAACUUUUUUUCUGCAUGAUCAACUUCUGCUUUGAUGGCAAAGAUGAUGGAGCGAUGAAAAUGGGCAGAGUAUGCUGUGAAUCAAAGAUUCUUCAGAUCAUCUAUUUUGGAUGUCGGGAUGAUGGAGCUAACGGUUAUGUCAACAUCCCACUAUUUCCAUUGAGGAGGGGGAAAAAGAAAGACUUUAUAACAAAUAUGUGUAUAUAGGCAAAACAAAUUCUAUAUUAGUCACCAAUUCAUUUCAUUCUGCACCCUAAGUUUACCUCUUUUCUGUAGGGAAAUGAUCAUCAUUGGUGCUCUGGAAAUCAUUGUUUGGACUGACUUCUUUCAAAAGAAAUGAAUGAAGUCUUAUUAGCAAGUGUUUUGUCUUAAAGCCUGAAUUUGCCUCCAAAGGAUCAAGUCAUGUGUUUUGAAUAUUUAAAAAAAUAAGCCUCUAUUUAUGUUACACGUUGAUCUACUAGGAUAUAAGGCUGCAGGGAUACAAUCAUAUCAAUCAAAUCAUACCUAUUUAAUUCACUGUAGAACUGCUUAUUGCCAACUUCAGCUGAAAAUUUUAGCCUUCACAUCCAAGAAAAAGAGGAUACACUAAGAUACAUCAUUUUAGAGUUUAAACCAAUAAACCAACUUUGAGUGUAAGAAAGUAUUCUUUCAACCCCCAAAACUCUUCAAAGACAAGAAAUGAACAAAAAAUAAUGAAUUAGUAGGAAGUUGAGGGCAAACUAAUAAGAGAAUAAAAACAGCUGGGUGGUGCAGUGGAUAGUGUUAGCCCUAGCGUUAGAAAGACUAGAGUUAGAAUACUGCCUAAGAACUUGGUGGUGUGAAAUGAGGAAAGUGAUUCCACACUUCCUGAGCCUCUGUUUCCUCAUCUGUAAAAUACCUAACUCCCAGGUUGCUGGGAGAACCAUUAGAAAUAACAUACAUAAAAUUCUUUGCAAAGGAGUGUGCUAGUCUACUCUCUUAAUACUAACCAUCAAUAGGCUUUUAGUCUCCUUCCUGUCCUCUUCCUGCCUUGAGGGGACAGAAGAAACACCAUCCCUUUUAUCUACUGGCAAAAUUAACUUGGUACUUAUAGGAGAAUAUUUCUCGUAGACAAUAAAAUAUUUGUUAUCUAUGGCAUCUACUUAACGGAAUUUAAUGCAAAAACUAUGUGGUCCUGGAUAUAAUUUUUUAAACUAGUUAAUGAUGUCAAUAAUUAACAAAAAUAAGUAUAACAUUUAUAUAGUAUUUUAUACUUCACAUAAUCUCUAGCAGGGCAGAGAUCGUUCCCAUUUUACAGAUAUGAGGGCAACAGGUAAGUGAUUUGUCAAAAACCACAUGGCUAAAAAGACAGGUCUUAGUUUAGGGCUGAUUAUAUUAUACCAUGUUGGUGAUCAAAUUUAUCUUAGCAAAUUCAAAUACAUGGUGAAUUCUGA